rnacentral:rRNA from 1 species
CGGACUUCGGUCUGGUGGCGAGUGGCGAACGGGUGAGUAAUGUAUCGGAACGUGCCCAGUAGCGGGGGAUAACUACGCGAAAGCGUAGCUAAUACCGCAUACGCCCUACGGGGGAAAGCAGGGGAUCGCAAGACCUUGCACUAUUGGAGCGGCCGAUAUCGGAUUAGCUAGUUGGUGGGGUAACGGCUCACCAAGGCGACGAUCCGUAGCUGGUUUGAGAGGACGACCAGCCACACUGGGACUGAGACACGGCCCAGACUCCUACGGGAGGCAGCAGUGGGGAAUUUUGGACAAUGGGGGAAACCCUGAUCCAGCCAUCCCGCGUGUGCGAUGAAGGCCUUCGGGUUGUAAAGCACUUUUGGCAGGAAAGAAACGUCAUGGGUUAAUACCCCGUGAAACUGACGGUACCUGCAGAAUAAGCACCGGCUAACUACGUGCCAGCAGCCGCGGUAAUACGUAGGGUGCAAGCGUUAAUCGGAAUUACUG